UACAGAGGGUGCAAGCGUUAAUCGGAAUUACUGGGCGUAAAGCGCACGUAGGCGGACGAAUAAGUCGGAUGUGAAAUCCCCGGGCUCAACCUGGGAACUGCACUCGAUACUGUUAGUCUAGAGUAUGAUAGAGGAAAGUGGAAUUCCCGGUGUAGCGGUGAAAUGCGUAGAGAUGUGGAGGAACACCAGUGGCGAAGGCGGCUUUCUGGUCUGUAACUGACGCUGAGGCGCGAAAGCGUGGGGAGCAAACAGG
rnacentral:rRNA from 1 species